CAGCAAAAUAAUUUACAGGAUCACUUUAAUUUAUUUGCAGCAAAAUAAUUUACAGGAUCACUUUCGCUAAUGCAUUACGUGCGUGCAAUCAAACCGAAAAGCCUAUAGCAAAGAAAGCAAACAAGUUCAGUGUCCAAUUAGUUAGAUAUCCUCACACAGCGGAAACAUUGUCUGAGAUAGCUUUACAAAGACAUUUGUUAAACCUUGGAGCUCAGAAGCAAAGAUGCAGAUAUUCGCAAAUGAAACUGUAUAUACAAACAACAUCAACUACAGUACCGAUAAUGAUUGAUACUGUUGUGACAACGAUUAUAAGACCUAAUAUCAUUUAUACAAGGGCGGGGC
rnacentral:lncRNA from 1 species